UUGCACACGUGUUUAUUUUUCUAGUAGCAGUUUAAGUUCGUAAAUGGGCCAUGUAGGUCCACGUUUUCACAUAGCCCCCAUAUAUAAGUACCUCCCGAUAUUCGGCAUUUGGAAAAUGAUUUUAGCGACAAAUGAUAAGUCGAGGCGACAAUAAUGAUAUUAGGGUUGUCGUUUUUUGUCGAUAGCGACAAAUGGUUGCCAUUAUCAUUGUCGAUACAAUAGUCGACGUGAAGUCGAUUUUUGAGAAUAUCUGUCGCCGUAAAAAAUUGUGACGACAUAGCAUUUUUUAGUCGAUAUUUGAGCAUCAAAAUAACAACAGCAAAACAAUUUGAAAUUUUGGUUUCCGAAUUGGAAAAAAAUCCAUGUUUGGUAAAAGGGUUUACCAAAGGUCAUGUUCCAGCUAAUUUUAAAUCUGAUUGGGCAUCUAUUGCUACAAAAUUAAAUGUAAACGGGCCUCCGAUUAGAGACUCCGAUGGCUGGCAAAAAGUUUGGAAAAAUUUAAAACUAAAAAGAAACUUGUGCACAACAAAGAUGAAACCAGCAGCACUGGAGGUGGCAUUUUUAAGCAAAUGACUUUGUCGCCAUUGGAUGAGUCUGUCGCUAAUAUAAUGCAGUUUCAAAAGUUACUGAACAGACCAGGUGGUGCACUUGGAAUAGAAAAUAAGGAAAACAUAAGGGUAAUAAACGUUAUAGUUCAUGAAAAUGAGCAAGUGGACAAUGUUGAAGACGAGACUGAUGUAACCUACUAUUGAAACUUCUCGAUCGCCCAGAAAGAACAAUGGUAAAAAGUCAUCAAGGAAUGUACAAAUUAUUGAACUCUUGGAAGAGCGUUAUAAACUUUUGGAACAACACAAUCAAGAGCCAGGCAAUGCAAAUAUGUUUGUUGGUUGCCUUAACACUCGCCGCUGCACUACUAAUACACACUUCUUUUCAUCCUCACUUGAACUUAAGAUAUGUAACGCAUUUAUAAUCUUCAUUUUUUUCACUAUAUUUUUUAUUUUUCCGAAAGAGUCGAAAUUAGAAUUCAAAAUACAAAACAAAAUUAUCUUUUUUUUUUU